GGAGUAUUUGCUCUUCUUCUAUGGCUCCUCGUCGCAUUAACCUCCAUAGUCCGCGCUGAUGAACUUUCUUUAGUUGUAUCUCAAUCUACCACGCUGCAGAUAUCUCCAGGAAUAGUAGUGGAAAAUUCUCCUGGCUCUAAGCCAGGAACGAAAGUUAUUUGUGAGAGAGUUCAGAUCCAUGGAUUGUCAAGGCUAAAAAGUCUAAGAAAGUAUGCCCAUUCAGUAAAGGUGAAUGUGUCAUAUCUGAAUCCAAGUGGGCGUCCACCUAAUGCUGAGGUCUGUUUCCAUAGGAAUCAAUCCGUGGCAAUUGGGAUGUGUCCGCCAGGCCAAUGGAUGAAAAUAACCAAGGGUUCAUGGGUGCGAUCAAUGUCACCUUUCGAGCACAGGUUUUUGGAUAUUAGGAUGACAGGCUCAUCUAAGGACACUUUUCAGGUCUCGCUGCACGAAGAUUUUUAUUUGUAUCGUGUUGUGUUUCUGGUAUUGGGUAUAUUGCUACUUGCUCUGGCAUCCUUCCUUAGCAAGUCUCUAGUAUUUUUCUAUGGUGGUGCGAUGGCAGUAGGGGUUAUUCUUGUGAUACUGAUGGUCCUUUUCCAGGGAAUGAAGCUUCUUCCGACUGGUAGGAAGAGUUCACUAGCAAUAUUCUUGUAUUCAUCCAUUGUUGGUGUAGGAUCUUUCAUUCUAAGCUAUGUGCCCCAAUUGUUGCGUUCAAUACUGCGC
rnacentral:misc_RNA from 1 species